GAGGGAAUUUUAUCUUGUGGUGCCAGUUUUCUAUUUAAAUCUGUCCAGCCAUUUGGCCCAAUCUGGCUUCCCUUUGCCAGGAAUACUUAGUCCCAAGGCUGCAUCUGUGAAGUGGAACCUAGAGCGUUGCAGGCUGGGGAGCUGAUGCUUCAAGUGUCAUACUCGGAGAGCGUAGCCCCCUGCCCAGACCAUGUAACCUGGAGCUCAGACUCUUCCUAUGUGGGCUCUAGUUUCUUUCUGCAGGGCAUGAAGAGUUUGGACCAGGGGUCCCACAAAAAGUUCUGCCGGCAAGAAGUUGCCCCAUAGAGACAUAAUCAAGACCAAUGCACAGGAAGGAAUCUGAAACAAAGCUGAGAUAGUUGCUGGAACCAUCUCCCAAGGGAACCCAUGGCAACUCAAGGGUUGGCGCAGGUGCUCUGGAUGAGUGUGGGCAGAAAGUGGCUCUGGGGUCUGAAGGUAAUUGCCACAGACAAGUGGUGUUCACACGUGGUGUGAACAAGGCAGAUCUUGUGAAGCUGGGCCUCAGCUUCCCUCUGUGGCUGAGUUGGGCCUGAAACAAAGAAACAGGGGUAGGGUGGGAGCUUCACCUGAAUUCCCUGAAACCAGCAGAGGAGGGAGAGAAAGAGAUUGAAGUGAAGGGAACACUGCACACACUUUUGGGACAUUUCCAUUUGACCCAACAAUCCAAGGCAGAUCUGAUCAUCACUAUUUUUACAGACAGGAAAACCAUGCUCAGAGAGGUUAAGAAAAUUGCCCAAGGCCACACAGCUAGUUCGAGGUAGGAUAAGAUUCAAACCUGGGUCUGCUUGACUCCGUUGCUCAAUGCCUUCCACUCUUGGACACUUCUCAUUCAUUGUCCUUUCCCAUAAUGCAGCUUUUCAACCUAAUGGUUGGUAAAAAUAGUUCCCAAAUUUCUCUCUUGGGUCUAUCGCACAAAAAGAAGUGACCAGAACUUUGUGAUGUGAAGGCAGGUAGGUACCCCAUGACCUCCCCUCGCAAAAUAUGUACUAACAAGCUGAGACUGAGAUCCUCUAAGUGAACCAAGUUCAGCUCUUGGGAAAGAAAAGCUAAUCUGAGACUUUCCUUACCCACUGCUAAUAAUGAUACUGCAAAAUAUACAUCCAGUGAUACUAGCUAGCUAAAUGCCCCCUGGAUCAUUAGCGAUUCACUUCCACAUUUGCUAUAAAACAAGGAUGUUGUUCAUGGCAUAUACUGAUAAUCCCUUCUAAGCCCUCAAGGGAGAAAUUUCAUUCAGAUUUAGUGCCUGGAAAAAUCAAAACCUGAAAAUCAACUGCAUUUCACCCGUGGAACUGGCAAGCAUGUCCUUUGCUAAUAAGAAGAGCUCCAUAACUGAUCAGGUUUCCCUUUUUGCACUGGCUGCCAGGAAGCUCAGAGCCAAACUCCACCCCUCUUCCCAACAACUUUGGCUGUUGCUUCCUCCUCAUUCACUCUUUCCCACUUCUAAUCCAACUGACUCAGCUUUAUUUCGUCUGUCCUCUAUUAAAGAUGUGCCCCCCUCCAUUUUAAUUGCAAGAAAUCAACAUUUAAAAUAAAUCUGCGUCUGGAAGAGUUUCUCAAGGGACCAGCAUUCCACGGGCCUCGUGUUGAGCCAGACACGGUCCUCUUCUGGUCUGGUCUUGUCCACUUGCCCAACAGCUGAGGGAUCCCUCUCUUGGAAGGAAGGAGGGACUGGCUUAAGACCAAGGGAUUCCUCGCCCAGCUGCUGAUGGUGGCUAAGACCUAAUGCCCUGGGUCAGAUGAGCAUUGCUAUUUUUUGCUCAACUGACAAACAGCUUGCCUCUCUCCUGCCAGCUCCCCAGGAAGCCCAAACCGCUAUCCCCUACCUAUUCCCUCCCCGAAAGUAGCCCCCAUUAUUUCCUCCUGUCACGACAUGGCAGGAAACAGACCCCUCUUUUCUGCAGAAGCCAGCACCACUCACAACUGCUUAGGAAGCCUCCAGGUGAUUGGGGUGGAGGUGGGGCUUCGUGGGGUGGCGGCAAAGGAGCCACUUCACCCCCUCAGGACUGGGAAGGCCACGCGGAGCAGAGGGGUCUGGACAGAUGAAGGGACCAGGCCCACCAAGAGCUGAGAAGAGUUGCCCAUGCAGGGGUCCGAAGCAGGACCUUGCCGAGGUGGCAGCAGUGUGGAUUGAUUUGAGGCACAGAAACCACUGGCAACCUUCAAGCCAGGGAGACGUGGGAACGGGUUUGUGUUUCACACAAUCACCUAGGCUGCCAUGUGACGACUGACAUCUACGGAGUGCCAGGUGACAAGGUUGGCAUCUCGUUUAAUCCACCCCUCCUUAGAGAGGAGGCUGAUGUGGGACGCAUCUCUCUUUUUCUGGUUGCCCAUCUGACGUCCCUUCCAGGGACUGGGGAACUACCCACCUUCCGGGGCUCGGUGGGGAGGCAGGGUGUGCCCUCCGCUCUGCCCACUGGAGAAGCUCAAAACACCCAAACUCCCUUUCCCGGUGCUGUGGGUGAAAUGUCUGUGCCCCCCUCCUUGGUUCAUAUGUUGAAACCUAAUCCCCAAUGUGCUGGUAUCAGGAAUGUGGGGCCUCUGGGAGGUGGUUAGGUCCUGAGGGUGGGGCUCCCCCCGAAUGGGACCAGCGCCCAUCCAAAGGAGGCUCCAGAGAGAUCCCCCGCCCCGUGCACCAUGUGAGGGGAUGGACGGAAGAUGGUCAUCUUUGAACCAGGAAGUGGGUUCUCACCAGAUGCCACCCAAUCCUGGACUUCUGCCUCCAGAGCUGUGAGAGAUAAUUUUCUUUUUUUCUUUUUUCUUUUUUUUUUUUUUUUUGAGAGAUAAUUUUCUGAUGUUUGUAACCCACAGCGCCUUGGGAGAUCGGUAAAAGCAGAAAAAGCAGAUAAGGGGGAGACUUUGAACUGAGGGCUAGCUGUGGAGCCUUGUUCCCAAAUUUGAGAAUCUGGGCAAAUCCCUGCAUCUCAGGGGACUUCUUCUGUACCCUCUAUCUAUCCCUAAGUCUCUGUCUCCUCAUCCCUAAAUUGGGUUGGGAAUGUUGCAUUCAAUCAUCAACUGAUAAAAGAUGUUCCCGGUAUUGCUCUUUUCUUCUAGUGCACUAGGGAACGGGAAGGAAGGAGAGGUGGAGACUGAGGUCUUGAGAGGCUGUUCUCCAGUCCCUGCCAACUCUAGGAUAAGACUCCUGAAUGCCACACAUUCCUAAACCUGCAGGACCCCAUGGAGAUGGGGGAGCAGAUUCAAGACUGCUGGGUGCAACCACAGCCAGACAGAUUUCAGCCGAGGCCAAAGCAGGAGGGGAGAACUGCCAAAGAAAUGGAACCACUCCCACAGCCAAAGGGUGCAAAUAGUGAGUUUCCCGCCACUGGAGGUAUGUAAGUCAGGGCUGGGGCUCUUGUGGAGAGAAUUUAUGCCCAGGUCAGGUCUCAGGUUUAAUGAGUUCCAAAGUGCCCACCAUAGGGGAAUAUGGGAAUUAUUCUCCAUUCUAGGCAAGUGCAGGCACGUUGCUUGGUCGUAGGUACUGUCGUGAAGACAGCUCCAGGCCAGGAGUCAAGAGAUGUGGGUUCUGGUCCUCCUCCUGCUAUCUGGCUGCUGGGGGACUAGAGCUGGGUCCUACAUCUGCUCCGAGCCUCAGUGGAGCAGUCUGUGAAAUGAAAGACCAGCUUUCACAUGCCGGUCCAUGGAGACACCUCUGCCAGAGAAGAACUUCUCCCUGAUUGUGGAGGAGACGAAAACCAUAAGACCUACUGCACACCGGAUAGUACCCAAGAGAGCCACUUGUCACAUGAAGCUCACAGGGACCCAGGCAAGACGAACAUAAAGACACACAAACAAAUGGAUAUUUAGCACUAGACAUGGGAUUGACCAUAUUGACCUGCUAUGGCUGUAUCCACUGGGACCCAGUUAUAAAGGCAGAAAGCACACUGAUUAUCAGAGCAAGAGAAGUACAUAGGGGAUUGUUCAACAGGUCCUGGAGGACCAAAAAGAAAGGACAGAAACUCUGAGGACACACAGAGGUAGUAGCUUUUGGAAACAUCUGUCACCCCAGGGCUAUGGGAGGAGGGAAAGAGAUGUUUUCGGAGGAGGUGUACCCUAGGGACUCAGACCUCUCCGGAGGGGGUGCUUCCAUGCCAGUGCUAGCAUCUCCAGAGCUCAAAGGAGGUUCUCUGCAGAGCUGUCACUUAGACUUCUGGGCCGAGUGUGCUGGGGUUGGCUGCUAGUUGCAUCUCAAGCUCUCAGAGGAGAGUCUCACGCAGCUGAGACUCUGACCCUUAAGAAGGGGCACUGCCCAGCUGGUGCUAGCACCUCCAAGAGGAUGCAAUGAGACUGGUUCUGAGGCUGCCAAAGGAAGUUGGAAACAGGAACCAACGUCCUCCAGAGCCAGCUGCCACUGCCAAGGUCAACAGCCUUUGCUGGGGUUAUAUAGACAGGAAUGGAUGCAAGCAAGAAGGAAGGGAUUCAAGUUCCUUCUCUCCUUCUCUUGCCUCAGCUCUCCUGCUAGUUACCCUCAAAUGGCAGAGAGCCAGCUGGCAAGUGAGAAAAGAAAUGUUCAGAUUGAGCCUGGCAUCAAGGAGCAGAGCAUGGAAGAGUGGGCGUGGAACUGUCUCAAAAGAGGAGACACCAUCCUAACAUUCAUUGUUUCCAGCCCUGGAGUGACAGUCACAGCGCUCAUCUGUGGGUGAUAUUAAUUACUCCUCAAGUUGAAUCACACUCUCACCUGACUAUCCUGCGACCUAAAGACUAAAUUGUGAAAUCAGCCAUCACCAACAAUCCUUUCAUGAAAUCCUAAGGGGAAAAGUGGAGACAGUAAAGAGAAAAUUAGCAAUAUAUACAAAUAUAAACACACACACGUAAUAAGCAAGAAGCAAAUACACAUUAUUGCAGCCGUCCUUGCUUCCCUUGCUGUUCACCAGGUCAUAGCUGACCUUACAAUUCCCUUCUUCUGAGAUCCAUGUCAUGUUCCAUAUUCUUUAGAUGGUUGUGUUGUCCAAUUGUGCAACAGUCUGAUGUUUCAAUGGUCCUGCCUUUUUUUGCUUAAGGUAGCUUUACGUUGGCUUUUAUUAUUGGACAUGGGGGAGUUAAGAGGUGUCCCCAGAAAGCCAUCUCUGGGCUUCAGACCCAGUCCAUCCAUUCAUUGCAGAAUCUAAGCAGUCUGAUUUGAUAACCAUGAUCCAUCACACCAGGCAGUAGAGUAACCUCUUGUCCCUGUUGGUUCAAUGGCAGGAGGAACCCGAAAUUUCCAGGCUUAUCAACUAACUAAAUGGGCCCAUUGCUGUGUUCCACAGUGGAAGUGUUUUUCCCCUGGGAAAAGAGAUUUCCAAAUCAGCAGAGUUCAACGUCAUGGGGAUAAGAAACAGAAAUUGUGCAGGUGGUUAUUAGGUGUAACAGGGAGAGAGAGAAGCCACUGCCAGCCCGUGUUUUCUGGUGCUGUUCUUAUGGAUGUGGGAAGGGAAAUUCUUGUACUGAUUGCCGAGUGAGAGCAUAUUGCACAUCCUCAGACAGAGCCUCAGCUUCCUAGGGUGUUGUCUUUAGAGUAGAAGCACAACGGAGUCUUCUGAAGGCCAUUCCACUUUCCAGUUAGGCUGCUGGUUUCCAAGUGAUGGAGUUUGUGGUAAGAGUAGUGGUUUCUAUGGGCCCAAAUCCAUUGUCGCUUUUUUGCCACGUGAUGAAUAUCUUGGUUAGGAGCAACAUCGGGUAGAAAAUCACGAUGGCAAAUAAUAACAUUCCAUCUGUCUGAAGAUUGCAGAAAUCUAUACAUAUGCAGAAUAUUGAUUUAAUAAAAAAAAUAGUGAGAUAAUUACCCUGGGAGAGAUAGGAGAAUGUGUGCAUGCAUGCGUGCAAAGGGGCAGCUCGGGGCUCGGGGAAGAUUGUAAGAAAGAGACAUCUUCACCUUCCAGCAUUGUUAAGUCAAAGUGACGCCUACAAUAAAGAGCUCAAGCACUAGAACUAUAAGCAGGUUAUUUAGAAAUACAGACAUUAGGGGCGCCUGAGUCUACCUUCGGCUCAGGUCAUCAUCUCGGGGUCCUGGGAUCGAGCCCCACAACAGAGUCCCCGCUCAGCAGGGAAUCUGCUUCUCCCUCUGCCUAUAUCUCUGCCGCUGUCUCUGUGUCUCUCAUGAAUAAAUAAAAUGUUUUUUUUAAAAAAGAAAUACGGAGAUUAAACAUGAGAAACAACGAAUUGAGCUUGGUUGCAUGUGGGGAGCGGACGACAUGAGUGGGAAGAGGAGAAUGCUGGAUUUUGUUGUCUUAAAGAACCACUGGACAUUUUAAAAAGUGAUGUAUUGCUUUGACUAAAAUUAGAGCUGUGUAAAUAUAAGAAGGAAUCUUACCCUUAGGUCUGAGUCUGGAGAGUUGUCAUUUCCAAGAUUCCUGCAGCCUAAAGAGCAGGAGGGUUUCUGUGCGAAUCUGGGGAAGAAGCCUCUUCU